rnacentral:rRNA from 1 species
UGGGGAAGGUUCGUCCGCCCAGGGUUAGUCGGGAGCUAAGGCGAGGCCGUAAGGAGUAGUCGAUGCACAACGGGUUAAUAAUCCCGUACCGGCUGGGCAACGUUUGAUCUUUAUAUUGACGGAUGAGUGAAUGCUGGCGAGGUGAUGAACGUCCUCGUCCAAGGCAUCGUAAGGUGUCGACGGGACUCUGAGGCUACGGCCGAGGGGGAUCAGCAAUGGCUAAUCCCGGGAAAAUUUAUAAAGUUAGUUGUCCGGUUGCCCGUACCGCAAACCGACACAGGUAUCCGGGAUGAGUAUUCUAAGGCGCGUGAGUUAAAUCUCUCCAAGGAACUCGGCAAAAUGGCCCCGUAUCUUCGGUAGAAGGGGUGCCAACGCGAGUUGGUCUCAGUAAAGAGGCCCAACCGACUGUUUAUCAAAAACACAGCUCUCUGCCAAGUCGCAAGACAACGUAUAGGGAGUGACAUGUGACCAAUGCGGAAAGGUGAAAACUGCUUGUGAAAGCUUGUGGUCUAAGCCCCCGUGAAUGUCGGCCGUAACUAUAACGGUCCUAAGGUAGCGAAAUUCCUUGUCGGGUAAGUUCCGACCUGCACGAAUCAUGUAACGAGUUGGGUGCUGUCUCAGGGAGAUGCUCAGUGAAAUUGUAGUCGCGGUUAAGAUGCCGCGUACCCGCAGAAGGACGGAAAGACCCUAUGAACCUUUACUGUAAACUGAUAUUGUCGUUUGAUUUUUAAUACGUAGAAUAGCCGGGAGGCUUAGAUUCGGCACUCCAGGGUGUCGAUGAGCCGCAAUGUGAAAUACCGGUUUUUAACUAUUAGGCGUCUAACCGCAAACCGUAAGCCGGUUGCGGGACAGUGUUAGUGGGUCAGUUUGACUGGGGCGGUCUCCUCCUAAAAAGUAACGGAGGACUGCGAAGGUUCCCUCAGACCGGAUGGUAAUCGGUCGUCGAGGAUAUGGCUAAAAGGGAGCUUAACUGUGAGACUUACAAGUCGAGCAGAUGGGAAACCAGGCCCAAGUGAUCCGGCGAUAGCUCGUGGGAGCGUCGUCGCUUAUGGGACAAAAGGUACUCUAGGGAUAACAGGCUGAUUUCGCCCAAGCGUUCAUAGCGACGGCGAAGUUUGGCACCUCGAUGUCGGCUCAUCACAUCCUGGGGCUGUAGUAGGUCCCAAGGGUUGGGCUGUUCGCCCAUUAAAGUGGUACGCGAGCUGGGUUCAGAACGUCGUGAGACAGUUCGGUCCCUAUCCGUCGCAGGCGUAGGAAAUUUGAGAAGACCUGUCCUUAGUACGAGAGGACCGGGAUGGACGUACCUCUGGUGUACCAGUUGUUCUGCCAAGGGCAUGGCUGGGUAGCUAUGUACGGAAUGGAUAAGCGCUGAAAGCAUCUAAGCGCGAAGCCAACUUCAAGAUAAGAUUUCCCACCGUAAGGGUAAGACCCCAGGAAGACUACCUGGUUGAUAGGUCGAAGGUGUAAGUGCAGUAAUGUAUUUAGCUUAUCGAUACUAAUAGGUCGAGGACUUGACC